CACGUAGGGGACGAGCGUUGUCCGGAUUCAUUGGGCGUAAAGCGCGCGCAGGCGGCUAUCCAAGUCAGUGGUGAAAGCCCGGAGCUCAACUCCGGAACUGCCAUUGAAACUGUUUAGCUUGAGGAUGAGAGAGGUGAGUGGAAUUCCCAGUGUAGAGGUGAAAUUCGUAGAUAUUGGGAAGAACACCGGUGGCGAAGGCGGCUCACUGGCUCAUUACUGACGCUCAGGCGCGAUAGCGUGGGGAUCAAACAGG
rnacentral:rRNA from 1 species